UACGUAGGGGGCGAGCGUUGUCCGGAUUUAUUGGGCGUAAAGAGCGUGUAGGCGGCCAGGUAGGUCCGUUGUGAAAACUCGAGGCUCAACCUCGAGACGUCGAUGGAAACCAUCUGGCUAGAGUCCGGAAGAGGAAAGUGGAAUUCCUGGUGUAGCGGUGAAAUGCGCAGAUAUCAGGAAGAACACCUAUGGCGAAGGCAGCUCUCUGGGACGGUACUGACGCUGAGACGCGAAAGCGUGGGGAGCGAACAGG
rnacentral:rRNA from 1 species